rnacentral:rRNA from 1 species
UACGGGGGAGCAAGCGUUGUUCGGAUUUACUGGGCGUAAAGGGCGCGUAGGCGGGAUGGCAAGUCGGUCGUGAAAUCCCUCGGCUCAACUGAGGAUCGUCGAUCGAUACUGCCGUUCUUGAGGAUUGCAGAGGAGACUGGAAUUCCCGGUGUAGCGGUGAAAUGCGCAGAUAUCGGGAAGAACACCUGUGGCGAAGGCGGCUCUCUGGGACGGUACUGACGCUGAGGCGCGAAGGCGUGGGGAGCGAACGGG